rnacentral:rRNA from 1 species
UGCGUAGGCGGCUUGGUCAGUCUGGCGUGAAAGCCCAGGGCUUAGCCUUGGAAGGGCGCUCGAAACUGCCAAGUUGGAGUGCCGGAGGGGAGAGUGGAAUUCCUGGUGUAGCGGUGAAAUGCGUAGAGAUCAGGAGGAAUACCGGUGGCGAAAGCGAUUCUCUGGACGGCAACUGACGCUGAGGUACGAAAGCGUGGGGAGCAAACA